rnacentral:lncRNA from 1 species
AGUCGCGAGUGGCAGACGCCAUUAACCGCCCCUUGGCGGGCAGCACCUCUCGCAGCGCCGGGCACCCGCGGUUUUGAAGCUUAAAAAGGUGGGACACUGAAACCAGCCACAACAUCACCACCAAAACCAGAUGCUGGCCUGUCUGCUCAUCCAAGUCUGCUGUCCACGCUCUGGGCCUUGUGAAUUACCACAGGUUUUUCCCUACCACAUUGCAAACUACUCAGCCCACAGUGAGAAAGCUGGACCAGGCAAGCUGAAGAGUGCACAUCUGGAGAGAAUAUUUCAGGUACUACAAUUCCGGCUGCAAUAAUAGCAAAAUUCUCCACAGAUCAAGCUGUCUCAAGAUUGUGAAGCACUGCCUCUUCCAGAGCUGCCUCCUUCCAGGGAACUCUGACAUGUCUGGCCAGGAACUCAACCCAAGAUGAGAAGUGGCACAAAAAGUUGCUGCCAGAUGGAUGUGUGCAAUGCUGCCAUCACACAAGCAGAUGCAUCAGGACAGAAAAGAGUCCAUAGUCAUGUAUCCUAGCUUUGUGUACCAUAAUAGUUCUGCUACACUGUUACAUUUACUAAACACAACAUAGUUUGCUCAUACCUUUAACACAUUAGUCAUCUUCCUGACAUAUAUACCCCUUCCCCACAAUCAUUUUCACUGAAAACUUCAAGUCUACCUAUGCCAGUUGAAGUUCCAUCUAAUCUAUUCCCCCCCCCCCAAUUCCCUACCUUUAAUUGAUCAAGCCUUUCAAAGCUGUCAGUAUCAGGACUCUGGAUAUAUAACUUCAAAGAAGAUCAAUAUAACCAUGUACACAAGCUUCACCUGCCAUGAGCUCUAAAAAUAUCCUGGUUUACAGCUUAAACAAAUUAAAGUAAAAGAUGGAAAGUGACUUCACCUGUGGCUUCUUCAGCAGGCAUCUGUUAUGUUAACAUUUGCCAAAGUUCUUGCAGAUCCAUUUCUGCAGAGGAGGUCUCUUGCAGAGCAGUACUAUAUCCUGAGUAAACGUGCUGUUCACUGCUGAUAGUUUCUGCAAAGAUUAAUCACUUUUUUGAUGCAAAGCUCAAACACAAC